AACGAACGCUGGCGGCAUGCCUAACACAUGCAAGUCGAACGAGAACUUCGGGUCUAGUGGCGCCCGGGUGCGUAACGCGUGGGAACCUUCACUUAGGUUCGGAAUAACUCCCCGACAGGGGUGCUAAUACCGGAUAAUGUCUUCUGACCAAAGAUUUAUCGACUUUGGAUGGGCAGGCGUUGGAUUAGCUAGUUGGUAGGGUAAAAGCCUACCAAGGCGAGGAUGCAUAGCUGGUCUGAGAGGAUGGUUAGCGACACUGGGACUGAGACGCGGCCCGGACUCUUACGGAAUGCGCGAGAGGGGAAUAUUGGAAAACGGCGGAAAGCAUGAUGCACUAAGGCCCGUAAAGUGAUGUAGUCCUUAGGGUAGAAAAGUUCUUUUACCCGGGAUGAUAAUGACGGUACCGGAAGAAUAAGCCCCGGCUAACUCCGUG
rnacentral:rRNA from 1 species